UUACUCGGAUCGGUGGCCAAACCCUUUGACGAGUUGCGACUUACGAGUUGGAAGAAACCCUCUUCCCGAUCGGUGCAGGAAAUAACAGAGAGAGAAGCGGAAAUGACGAGCUAUUUGUGGAGGAAGUACGCGGAUCACUUGUACUCAAAAUGGGAAAAGACGUUCCUUUGGGAUAUGGUCGAGCCUUAUAGGCGACCCAAAUCUUUCACCCCACUCGUCACCAUCUAUGUCGCUGCCUUCUAUACUGGCGUAAUUGGAGCUGCAAUAACAGAACAACUCUAUAAGGAGAAAUAUUGGGAAGAUCACCCAGGAGAAGCAGUGCCUCUCAUGAAGCCAAAGUUUUAUUAUGGCCCUUGGAAGGUCCUGAGAGGGGAUUUCCUUCCACCCAACCAGUGAACCAGAUAUAUUCAAAUGGGAUGGUUUAUGGAUAUAUUGUUACUCUAUGUCAUUUACACUAAUUAGAAGCUCUGGUAGUAUCAAACAAACAAGAAAUCAGUCGCAAGUGCCUUGGAAUUCAAGUGAUGAGAGCAGAAUAUUGAUGUAAUACCACUUGCUGCUAUUUCAUUUGGAGGUAAAGAAGUCCUACCAUAUGCUGUCAUAAUGGUUGCUUUUCGGACCAAAAGAGUUAUGUUGGAGCUUCAUUGGUUGAUUUCAGGGGUGUUUGACAAUGUGAAUGGUAUUGUUUUCUAAAACAAAAAGCAAUUGCCACAUCAGCAGAAAAUGUGUGGCAGUUGUUUUUUGUUUUAGAAAACAAAACCAGUACACUGAUCAAAAGAAAAACAAAACAAAACAAAACCAGUACAUUGUCGAAUACACCCUUAAUUGAUGGAAACCAUUUUGAUUUUUCAAACAAUAUCACAUGUAACUGCUGUAUUUUGUAAACAACCAUCUAUUAUUUAUUUGAAGAAGGAAGAAAUUAAUUCAUUA